CUCACUGAUGGCUACACUGUGGCCAGCUCCUCAUUAUCUGCAUCUCACCUCACUGUGGCCCCUCGGGGCUGCUGUACCUUAGCUGUUUUCUGUCGUCCCAGCCCAGGACAGCCGAGUGAGGCAAUGCUGCCCAUAUCUACCAGUGUGGCCUUAUGGGGAGAGGCCGCUGGCCACGCUGACACAGGCUGCCCAGCUUGCUCAAGACAUCACAGGCGGCUGGCCAGGUCAAAGGCCUCCUCUGAAAUCACUCUCUGGAGGUUUGACCCAUGACCCUUUGGACCCCAUGAGCUGCUUUCCGUGCCCCCGGGAAGCAGAGGCAGAGGAUGGCAUGCCUGCAGCGCAUGCUGGAAGGGUGUACUCACUCAGAUGUGGGCUGAGGCCAGGGCCAGAGCCACAGGGGGUGCUCUGGUUCCUGGUGGGAGCCACACAGCUCAACACAAUGUCCUGGCUACCUCUGUCAGUUCUCAGCUUCAGCAUCCUCUGUGAAGGACAGGAGACUUUCUCCCCCAGACUGAAAGAGAAGCCUGGGUUGAUUUCGGAAGCUGAGAUACCAUCUAGGUUCCUGGGUACUCUAGAAGAAGACGAGGCCUCACACUCCUUCCUGGUGCUCUCUCUGAAGCCUGGAGCCUGAACACCCUCAUCCAGAGCUCUGGAAACAUCAGAUAUCUUGUCUUGUCUCAGCAUGUGGGUCUGUCACAGCUGACAUCACUCGUCAAUCACCCCAAG